rnacentral:pre_miRNA from 1 species
GCCGGAAAAUUUUCUUUUGGAGGCCAGCUCUCUCGGACAAGUUCAGUUACUGGUGAUGUUAACCGUAGCAUCAAUUUAUCCGAGUAUGUUUUCCCCCUCAUGAACACAAUUCCAGC